GAUGAACGCUGGCAGCGUGCCUAAUACAUGCAAGUCGAGCGAACAGACGAGGAGCUUGCUCCUUUGACGUUAGCGGCGGACGGGUGAGUAACACGUAGGUAACCUACCUAUAAGACUGGGAUAACUUCGGGAAACCGGAGCUAAUACCGGAUAAUAUUUCGAACCGCAUGGUUCGAUAGUGAAAGAUGGCUUUGCUAUCACUUAUAGAUGGACCUGCGCCGUAUUAGCUAGUUGGUAAGGUAACGGCUUACCAAGGCAACGAUACGUAGCCGACCUGAGAGGGUGAUCGGCCACACUGGAACUGAGACACGGUCCAGACUCCUACGGGAGGCAGCAGUAGGGAAUCUUCCGCAAUGGGCGAAAGCCUGACGGAGCAACGCCGCGUGAGUGAUGAAGGUCUUCGGAUCGUAAAACUCUGUUAUUAGGGAAGAACAAACGUGUAAGUAACUGUGCACGUCUUGACGGUACCUAAUCAGAAAGCCACGGCUAACUACGUG
rnacentral:rRNA from 1 species